rfam:Tstilago hordei, Th4857-4, WGS project CAGI01000000 data, contig: THOR_scaffold_5.00028
GGUUUCAUGGCGCAGUUGGUUAGCGCGUCUCCUUAACAAUUCCGAUUUCGGAUCGUUGAGGCUUACGGAGGAGGUCGCCGGUUCGAACCCGGCUGAAAUCA